UCUUCACCACCUUUGACAAGAAAGGGAUGUUCCCGCUCGUCACUGCCUCGAAUGUUUAUACGUUUUGGUUUCCUGAUAGACGCCAUUACUUUGAUCUUGGAGGGAGGGGAAAAAAGCAAAACAUGUUUGGCACAGACUGACUCCCAUCAACCAACAAGUCACAUAGCACCCUCUUCUGGUGGGCUCAUGCAGUUGCACAGGUACUGGCGCUUUGCAUUUCUUAUCAGCUUCAAGAUAAAUUCUGUGUGACCAUCCAAAUACAGGAGGAGGAGAAAAAUAAAUGACAGCAACAUGAAGAGGACAAUGUGACAAAGCUGGAGCCAUUUUCUCAGUCAUGGGACUAAAGGGCAACUUGAGACGCUACAGAAUAGCAAAAAAUAUUUACUUUAAUUAUUGUUGACUGUACUUUUUUUAUAAGAAAACUCAUCUAAGUUGUGCAAAAUACCUUUGUGAUCAAGUCACUUUACCUCUAUCCCUAAUCAAGGCACCGCAGUAAUGGCCCCUGUACAAAUGCAAUCAGUGUGAUAUCAAAUCUAAUCUAGCAAUGAUUUUACAAACCUGAUAAAAUGGAUCACUCCAAGUUUUGUUUAGGUCUGGAGGUUGUCCGCUAUCAAUAUUAACAGUGGAACAAUACUCCAGUGACUUCCACUCUGUCAGAUGGUUGUAGCAUUCAAGAGAUGCAAGUUCCCAGAAACCCUUUUCUGCUUCAGUAGGCUCACCAUCCAACCAGUCUUGUUUAGAGAGAGCCUAGAAAAGGAAUGUCAAAUGAAAAAAAAACAAGUAGGUUCUUAGCGGCAACAUUAUGAUCUUUUUACUAUUCUAGCUGAACACGUUCAGGAAAACCUAUAAUGUUUUCACUGUUGCAUGACAAUAUUUUAUUCCUUUAUCAGCAUUUGUGUUUAAUAAACAAAUAGGACCAAAGAAAAUGUUCCAAAGAAUUCUUCAAAAUUUAAGCCAGUCACACCUUUAACAUAUAAAACUCAGUUCAGAUGUGAGCUUCAGUCAACCUGCUUUUGUAAAGAGCUGCAUUUUUCCACCUUUCAUUUAGACACAAACAUUCUGUAGGUAAAUCAUUUCCACACACAUUUUUUAUCGAUUAUCAACUUGUGAACACAAAUAGAACUUACAUGUGCAGACCAUAGGCACUUAAUUUGCACUCUCUAAUGCUCUUUUGUAUGUAUUGAAAUUAUAUUGAUUUAUGCCUGUAAAGUUGUGUGACACUAAUGGAGAUAACUUGAAAAUCUGGCUCAAUAAGCACUGUCUUAUGAACUGUUAUUUAUAUUGCAUUUGGCCAAGUAUCUUUUAUGGUUCUUGAAUUAUAUAAUGAAGUGAACUAAAUAAAAGAACGUUUAAAGCAA